AUAUGAAUCAACUGGGGAUCUUAUUAAAAUGCAGUUUCCAAUUAAUCAGGUUCGGGUAGGGCCUGAGAUUCUGCAUUUCUAUUGAGCUCCCAGGUGAUGCUAAU
rnacentral:pre_miRNA from 1 species